CGCUUUAUAGCUGACUCACUGUCUGUCUUGUUUUCUUCUUUCCUUUCCCUCAGCUUGAGGUGCAUUCUGAGGAUUUGGUGUGUGUGCUCUCGCAUGUGCUGCAGGAAGAGCAUGGUCGUCUGAAGUCAGGACUCGCCUGCCGUUGGUUCUUAGGAUCCAGCUCUGCUCGCCGGUCAGCUCUGCUCGCCGGUCAGCUCUGCUCGCCGGUCAGGCUCCGCAGCAGCGCCCUUCCCGGCUGAGUCACCUCUUCCUUCCUCUACUGUCAAUUCUUGGUAGAGCAGAGUCUGGUACACAGUUGUGUCUUCUUCAACAGUUAUUUUAUUUAUGAGUUAAUCUACGUUUUCCCUCUGUUUUAGACUUUGGUUUCUCCUUGGUAUUCUAUUCUGAGUGGGUGGGGAGAAGGGAAGUGUGUUUGUUUUGUAUCGAGACGUGGUUUCGCAUAGCUCAGGCUAGCCUGGAACUCAUUACAUUGCUAAGGAUGCCCUGGAUUCCACUCCUCCUGGUUCCAGUUUCCAAGUGCUAGGAUUAUGAGUGUUUUCUACCAGGCUAGCUAGCAAAAUAUUUUUAUUGUUCAAAUGAAACGCAAUGAACAUAGUAUUAGGGACUAGGAACAAGGACUCUGGAUCUAAAUCGCUUGGGUUAAAGAAGGGCUCUGCCGCCCACGGGGAAGUUCCCCUUAACCUCCGUGUACUUAGGACAGUGAUGGCUCCUGUCUGAGAGCUGGCACAAGGAAGGAAAGACUUGCCGCAGGAGUCAGAUGUCCAGAAAGAUGCCCGGCACACAGGCAAUGUUGGGACGCACUUUAACAAUACCAAAUCUUUAAAGGCCUUUAUUUCUACACUGUAUUAUUUCUGGAGAUUUUUUCUUUCUUCCUACUUCCUCCAGGCUGUUCUUCUUGAAGGUCCCACCCACCCAGAGCCUCCAACUUCCAUCCACUUGUCCAACCACCGAACUAAGGCUUCUAAGGGCAUCCCCCACCAGCAAGCUGCGUUCCCAGUCCAGAAGAGCCAGUCCUUCAGUUACACCCUUUGGCUUCCAGUCCUCCGAGGGUCGGACACUUACCUGCAAAGUACAUCCGAACACUCCGAUCAUCAGCAUGGCCACCGAGAGGUAAUCCGUGAACACAUCCCACCAUGGCUUCAGCACCCGGAAGGCAGGCUGCUGCUCGGAGAACUGCCGGAACUCCGUCACAGGAAUCAUGGUUCUGAGAGAGGAGAGAACACUGGAGCAGGACCUUCUGGAGCCAAAGGGCUCCCAAGAUGCACAGUGCUCCUGACCCAGUGAGGGACCACCAACGGGAGAACUGAAGAGAGUUGCAGACAGCUGAGUUAUCGUCUGGUAACCAAGCUCCCUCUGUGCUCCUUGGACUUAGACAAAGCCAGGUAUUC